GCGAGUCGAAUGUAGCAAUACAUGGCGUACUGCUCAGUAACACGUGGAUAACCUACCCUUAGAACGGGGAUAAACCCGGGAAACUGGGUAUAAUACCCGAUAGAUCUCGACUGCUGGAAUGCAUCGAGCUCCAAAGCUCCGGCGUCUAAGGAUGGAUCUGCGGCCUAUCAGGUAGUAGUGGGUGUAGCGUACCUACUAGCCUACGACGGGUACGGGUUGUGAGAGCAAGAGCCCGGAGAUGGAUUCUGAGACACGAAUCCAGGCCCUACGGGGUGCAGCAGGCGCGAAAACUUUACAAUGCUGGAAACAGCGAUAAGGGGACCUCGAGUGCCAGGUUACAAAUCUGGCUGUCGUGAUGCCUAAAAAGCAUUGCAUAGCAAGGGCCGGGCAAGACCGGUGCCAGCCGCCGCGGUAACACCGGCGGCUCGAGUGGUAACCGUUAUUAUUGGGUCUAAAGGGUCUGUAGCCGGCCGGAUAAGUCUCUUGGGAAAUCUGGCAGCUUAACUGUCAGGCUUUCAGGAGAUACUGUCUGGCUCGAGGCCGGGAGAGGUGAGAGGUACUUCAGGGGUAGGGGUGAAAUCUUGUAAUCCUUGAAGGACCACCAGUGGCGAAGGCGUCUCACCAGAACGGACCUGACGGCAAGGGACGAAAGCUAGGGGCACGAACCGGAUUAGAUACCCGGGUAGUCCUAGCCGUAAACGAUACUCGCUAGGUGUCGGCCACGGUGCGACCGUUGUCGGUGCCGUAGGGAAGCCGUGAAGCGAGCCACCUGGGAAGUACGGCCGCAAGGCUGAAACUUAAAGGAAUUGGCGGGGGAGCACCACAACGGGUGGAGC
rnacentral:rRNA from 1 species